UACGUAGGGGUGCAAGCGUUAAUCGGAAUUACUGGGCGUAAAGCGUGCGCAGGCGGUUAUGUAAGACAGUUGUGAAAUCCCCGGGCUCAACCUGGGAACUGCAUCUGUGACUGCAUAGCUAGAGUACGGUAGAGGGGGAUGGAAUUCCGCGUGUAGCAGUGAAAUGCGUAGAUAUGCGGAGGAACACCGAUGGCGAAGGCAAUCCCCUGGACCUGUACUGACGCUCAUGCACGAAAGCGUGGGGAGCAACAGG
rnacentral:rRNA from 1 species